GCCCUCAUGGUCUAGUGGUUAAGAUUUGGUGCUUUCACUGCUGCGGCCCAGGUUUGUUUCCUAGUUGGGGCA
rnacentral:tRNA from 1 species